rnacentral:lncRNA from 1 species
CCCUUAGCUGGUCUUCAACUGGGACAAAGCCUGGUGUUGUCCACAUGCCCCCGCCCCAGCUGACUAUGGUGGGCCCUUGGAUUUCCAGCCAAGCUUCAGUUGUGUUAUCUCCUCCUUGCGCCACCGCUCCCCCUCCCCCCACCUCAAUCAUGGCCUGUCCUCAGGAAAACGUCUCUUGCCCGGGCUCAGAAGGCAGCAGGUAAAGAGGCCCCUGCCCUGAGCACUUUCCCUCCCCCGUGUCGCCCUGCCCAGCCCCUUGAUCAGACGAUGGCAAUGGAGGGAGGCCUCUGCAUCUGGAAUCUUCCAGCCCUCCUGCUCCCUUGGCUGGGUAUAUUUGUCUUGGCUGCCUUCACCUGGGCUUUUUUAAAACAGAUUUUCUUUCCUUUGCUUUCUCCCAGCAGCUGGCCUCAGCAGCACAGCACACAGAGCAGGGCUUGUUUAGGAC